rnacentral:rRNA from 1 species
GACGAACGCUGGCGGCGUGCCUAAUACAUGCAAGUAGAACGCAGUUGCGCACGGGUGAGUAACGCGUAUGUAACUUCCUCAUAGCAGGGGAUAACUAUUUGAAACGCUAGCUAAUACCCCCUUCUGGGAGCUGUACCUGCUUUGUAUUAGCUAGUUGUUUAGGUAAAGGCUAACCAAGGCGACGAUACAGAGCCGACCUGAGAGGGGGAUCGGCCACACUGGGCGUUAGACCAGGCCCAGACGCCGACGGGAGGGAGCAGUAGGUAAACUUCGGAAAUGGACGGAAGUCUGACCGCGCAACGCCGCGUGAGUGAAGAAGGUUUUCGGAGUUGAAAGCUAGGUUGUGAGAGAAGCGGUAACUAACCAGAAAGGGACGGCUAACUACGUGCCAGCAGCCGCGGUAAUUC